UACGUAGGUGGCAAGCGUUGUCCGGAUUUACUGGGCGUAAAGAGCGCGCAGGCGGUCGUUCAAGUCGCGUGUGAAAGCCCCCGGCUCAACUGGGGAGGGUCACGCGAUACUGAUCGACUCGAAGGCAGGAGAGGGAAGUGGAAUUCCCGGUGUAGUGGUGAAAUGCGCAGAUAUCAGGAGGAACACCGGUGGCGAAGGCGGGUCUCUGGGCCGUAACUGACGCUGAGGAGCGAAAGCAUGGGGAGCGAACAGG
rnacentral:rRNA from 1 species